CUAAAUAGCACAUACUCCAAAAAGAAAACACAACUUUCCUUUCUUUGUCAAUACACUGACAGAUUUGGAAAAGAUACAAUUUCAAAAGCAGUGUUCAUGAUUACUUAAGAUGAUGACUCUUCAAAAUUUAGAAAACUUUACACAGACUGUUUCCUCAUCUUUCCUGAAGUGCUUCUGAAAAACGAGAAUAUCUCAUCCGGUUGCCAUUUUCUAAUAUGGCAAAACAUGUGAUGCCCUGAUUUGAAAUUCAGGGAAGUGUUUUCGUUCAGCACUUAGAGUUUAAGAAAGUAAGCUUCAGAAAUUCUCUUCCUUUGCCUCCUCCAGUCCUAUUUCAAUCUCAUCUGACCUUUGGCUUCAAUGAGAAUGUAAAUACAUUUCUUCUUAGCCUCAACCAAAGGUUUGGAGCCUACCUUUGGAGAUUGUACUUCCAAGUGUGUUCCACUCUUGGCACGGUAUAUUAAUUCCAGUAACUUCCUGGGAAUUGCAAGGACAACGACUGAGCAGAAAACCCAUCAGCUUAAACUGAAGAGGAAAGAGAAAGAACAAAAAGAACACUGUCUGCCUCUUGGAAUCCUAUAAAUAGGAAUGAGGUCAAUGGAGCUAUAUCUGUUGUCCUCCACAAAAAGAAAAGGAUCAUCCAUGGAGCAGCUCAGAUCAGCAGAACUGUUGGAAGGAGCAUGGCGAAAAGAAGCCAAAAUGAUAGGAAAACUGAACCAAAAUGAACUGCGGAACAGUUCAAGGAAGAGUUAAAAACCAAGGGAAGAAAAAAAGACCUAAAAGAAACCUGGAAGCAAAUUUUAGUACCAGCCUGGAAGUGGGUUAAGACCAAUUGAUGCAUCUUAGAAAAACUGCCAACUUUUAUUGAGAAAGAGGUGAAUUAAAAAAAAAAGUUGUGGAAGCCAAGGAGUUUGAAGAAAGAGAUGGUUAUUGCAGUUAAAUGGAAGAAGAGUGACAACUCGUGAACAUACCGUUGGAGGAAUGUAACCAUUAUGGAGGGUAAAUACAGCAUGAACCAUAAAAAAGUACAUACCCUAAAUUAAAACCAAAAUGAGAUACCACUAUGUAUCUGUCAGAAAGGCUACUUUUUUUGUUGUUGUUUUUUUAACUAACAAUACCGAAUGCUGGCAAGAAUGAGGGGCAACUGGAGCUCUCACACAUUGCUCGUAGGAGUGAAGAACAGUACAACCACUAUGGAAAAUAGUUUGACAGUUUCAUACAAAAUUAAACAUAUACUAACAUAUGGCUUAGGAAGCCUGCUCUUAGGUAUUUACUCAAAGACAAUAAAAAUGUAUGUCCACUCAAAAUAAUUCUAUUAUGAAAACAUUCUGCAUCCCACUUUGAAAUGUGGCGUCUGGGGUCUUAAAAGCUAACAAGCGGCCAUCUAAAAUGCAUCAACUGGUCUCAACCCACCUGGAGCAAAGAAGAAUGAAGAACACCAAGGUCACACGACAACUGAGAGCCCAAGAGACAGAGAGGGCCACAUGAACCAGAGACAUCAUCCUGAAAACAGAAGAACUAGUUGGUGCCCGGCUACAAUCGAUGACUGCCCUGACAGGGAGCACAAUAGUGAACCCCUGAGGGAGCAGGAGAGCAGUGGGAUGCAGACCCCAAAUUCUCAUAAAAAGACCAUACUUAAUGGUCUGGAUGUGACUAGAGGAAUCCUGGCGGUCAUGGUCUCCAAACCUUCUCUUGGCACAGGAUGGGAACCAUCCCCGAAGACAAUUCAUCAGACAUGAAAGGGACUGGACAGUGGGUGGGAGAGAGAUGCUGAUGAAGAGUGAGCUAAUAAUAUUAGGUGGACACUUGAGACUGUGUUGGCAUCUCCUGUCUGGAGAGGGGAUGGGAGGAUAGAGAGAGUUGGAGGCUGCCAAAGUUUUCACGAAAGGAGAGACUGGAAGGGCCGACUCAUUAGGGGGAGAGCAAGUGGGAGUAAGGAGUAAGAUGUAUAUUAACUUAUACGUGACAGACUGACUUGAUUUGUAAACGUUCACUUGAAGCUCAAUAAAAGUUAAUAAAAAAAAAAAUGUAUGUCCACUUUGUCUGGGGUCUUAAACCCAGAUGCUAGCAAGCAGCCAUCUAAGAUGCAUCAGUUGGUCUCAACCUAGAAUGAAGAACACCAAGGACACAAGGCGAUUACGAGCCCAAGACAGAAAGGGCCACAUGAACCAGUGACUACAUCAGCCUGAGACCAGAAGAACUAGAUGGUGACUGGCUACAACCGAUGACUGCCCUGACAGGGAACACAACCAGAGAACACCUGAGGGAGCAGGAUAGCAGUGGGAUGCAGACCCCAAAUUCUCAUAAGAACAGACUUAAUGGUCUGACUGAGACUAAAAUGACCCCGGUGGACAUGGCCCCCAGACCUUCUGUUGGCCCAGGACAGGAACCAUUCCUGAAGCCAACUCUUCAGACAGGGAUUGGACUGGACAAUGAGUUGGAGAGGGAUGCUAGUGAGGAGUGAGCUUCCCGGAUCAGGUGGACACUUGAGACUAUGUUGGCAUCUCCUUCCUGGAGGGGAGAGGAGAGGGUGGAGGGGGUUAAAAGCUGGCGAAAUGGACAUGAAAAGAGACAGUGGAGAGAGGGAGCGGGCUGCCUCAUUAGGGGGAGAGUAAUUGGGAGUAUGUAACAAGGUGUAUAUGGGUUUUUGUGUGAGAGGCUGACUUGAUUUGUAAACUUUCACUUAAAGCACAAUAAAAAUUAUUUAAAAAAAAAUGUAUGUCCACUCAAAAACCUAUACCCAAGUCUUAAACGCUAGCAAGCGGCCAUCUCAGAUGCAUCAAUCAGUCUCAACCCACCUGGAGCAAAGGAGAAUGAAGAACACCAGAGACAUAUGGUAAAGAUGAGCCCAAGAGGCAGAAAGGGCGACAUAAACCAGAGACUACAUCAGCCUGAGACCAGAAGAACUAGAUGAAGCCCAGCUACCACCUAUCACUGCCCUAACAGGGAACACAUCAGAGAAUCCCUGAUGGAGCAGGAGAACAGUGGGAUGUAGAUCUCAAAUUCUCAUAAGAAGACCAGACUUAAUGGAGGCCAUGGUCCCCGGGCCCUUUCUUAACCCAAGACUGGAACCAUUUCCAAACCCAACUCUUCAGACAGGGAUUGUACUGGACUAUAAGAUAAUGAUAUUGGUGAGGAGUGAGCUUCUUGGCUCAAGUAGACACAUGAGUCUAUGUGGGCAACUCCUGUCUGGAGGCAAAAUGAGAAGGAAGAGGGGGACGGGAGCUUGUUGAAUGGACACAGGGAAUACAGGCAGGAGAAGAGGAAUGUUCUGUCUCAUUAGGGGGAGAGCAGCUAGGAGUACAUAACAAGGUGUGUAUAACUUUUUAUAUGAGAGACUGACUUGAUUUGUAAACUUCCACAUAAAGCACAAUAAAUAAAUUAACCAAUUAAAAAAAAAAACCUAUAUCUGAACGUUUAUAGUGGUUUUAUUCACGAUUGCCAAAAAUUAGAAAAAACCCACAUGUUCUUCAACUGGAGAAGGGAUAAACAAACUGUGAUACAUACAUACAAUUUUUAAAAACUCAGCAACAAAAUGGAGGAAACUCCUGAUAUGUAACAACAUCAAUGAAUGCUAAGUGAAUGAAGCCAGACUCAAAAGGCUAUAUACUGUAUGAUUUUGUAUAUAAGACAUCCUGAGAAGGCAUAAUUAUAGGGUUAGAAGACAGAUCAGUAGUUCCUGAAGGAGGGGUGUGGGAAGAAAGGUUGACUACAACGGAGCAACAGGGAAUUAUGGAGGGGUGAUGAGACAGCUCCGUAUCUUGAUUGUAGCGGUGAUUGUUACAUGACCGUAUUUGUCAAAAUUCAUAGAACUAUACACUAAAAAAAAAAAAAACAAAUUUUUUUUAAGAAGAGUGAAUUUUACUGUGUAAAUUAUACUUCUAUAAACCUGAGUUUUUGUUUUUGUUUUUGUUUUUUAAAGAUACACUCUUCUUAAUUCUACUUCUAGGAAUUUAUCUGAAAGAAACAAUUGAACAAGUGUGUUACUAUAUAUGAGCAAGAAUACUGUAAUUCAAAUUUGUCUGUUAUAGGUAAAAAUUGAAAACAGCCUAACAGUCCAAAUGCAGGGGAUUGGUUAAAUAUAAAAUAUAUUAGGCUACUUCUAUACAGUACUGUGCAAUCAUUAAUUUGAUGAUUUGGGUAUGUAUCUAUUGACAUAAAAGAACAUUCACAAAAUAGUGUUAAGGAAAAAAAAAGGCCAGUAUAUAUAUGACAUGGAAACCCUGGUGGCAUAGUCGUUAAGUACUACAGCUGCUAAUCAAGAGGUCAGCAGUUUGAAUCUGCCAGAUGCUCCUUGGAGACUCCAUGGGGCAGUUCUACUGUGUCCUAUAGGGCCACUACGAGUCAGAACCGACUGGACGGCAGCGGGUUUAUAUAUAAUAUGGUCCCAUUUUUGUAAAUAUACGUAUAUACACAAAAUACAAAUCUCAUGUCCUUUUUCUGAAAAAUGUACAAAUAUUUCGAGAGCAAAUAAGACGACGUCAAUGAAAGAACAGUAAGCUCCUUAGCCAUAAGGUUUCAAAGAAAUUCAAAUCAUUUGUCACAGUCUGAUCUGAGAACAGACUUACUUGGGGGAUGAUUUAAAUCACAAGCUUUUGCUAUAUUAUUCCCUGAUUCCUAUUCCUGUAGGGACUCAGAUAUAAUAGUGCCUUCAAAUACAAAGAAAAUUCUCUUUAACUAGAAAGCUUCUUACCACUGAAGGAAGUAGUGGGAAGAACAAUGCCUCUUGCUUGGAUUGGUUCAAUCCGUCACUUGGAUUAGAUGAAUGGUGGAGAAUAAGAAGGCAAAGGAGAAGACAGGCGGAGUGAGGUGGCCACCAGUAGAACAAACGAUUUCAAUUCCAGGACACCAUAAUAUCCUUUUGUCCUCCCUCCUUCCAGAGGAAGUAGUUUAGUAAAUAUAUUAAGGGGACUCCUGCCUUGAUACAACCUAUUCUUUGGAGUCACUCUCAGAGACAAUGAAGCAUGGAUCUGCCUACCUUGGAGUGGCAAUUUUUAUGUUCUUACAUAUAACUACAGAACCUGGUUAAACUGCCCUGGUUAUGUUCCCAUUCUGCAGAUAGAUGGCUGAAAAUCUCACUACUAAUUGCUCCCCUCUCUUGGUUCCAACACUUUGCUCAUAUCAGCAUUUAGAAUGUAUGACCAUGGUAUUCUAGUAAUUGGGUAAAGUAACUGCAUCUCCUAAGAGAGCAUAAAGUCCUUGAGGGCAGGAAUUAUGUCUUAUUUGUUUUUGUAUCUAGGGCCUGGCACAGUGCCUAGCACUUGGAAGUACUCAGUAUGUUUAUAAACUAGUAAAUGAAUUACUAACCUUAAAGAAAAAGGUGGCUACAAAGAGUGACCCCAGAUGGCUGGAAUCCCUACACAGAAAAGCAAACUCCUACUACCUCCACUUCCCCAGUUGGUAGAGCAGCAGUUCUCAGGGUGUGAUGUCCCCGGCCCCUUCACCCCAGCAGCAACAGCAUUACCUGGGAACUUGAGAGAAAUGCAAAUUUCUGGGCACACCCUAGAUCCUCAGAAUCAGAGACUGUGGGGAUAGGGGCCAGAAAUGGGUAUUUUUAACAAACUUUCAGGUGAUUCUGAUGUAGACGGACACUGUGUCCUCGUUUUAGUUUAGCCCAGCAGCUACACGACCAGCCACAGCUGGAUUUCUAAAUAAUUCAAAAUUCAUUCUACUGGUGUCAAAAAAGGGGAUUGGAAUGAUGCCUGAGGACCCUUCUGGUCUAAAAUUUUGUGAAAUAGCAGAAGCAGAAAGUAAAUAAAUGUCCUCUGACUAGAUUAAUUCAUUCAGUCAACAAAUAUUUAUGUACCAGGCAGUGUUCUAACCAUCAAAUCAAUCCAUGACACAAAUUUUUCUUUAAAAGAAGCUUUUUGUAAAGUUUAUCUUUUUAUUAAAAGCCACUCCUUUUGAAUGAAGAACACCAAAGACACAAGUAAAAUAUUAGCCCAAGAAACAAAAAGGACCACAUAAACCACAGACUCCAUCAGCCUGAGACCAGAAGAACUAGAUGGUGCCCAGCUACCACCAAUGAUCACCCUGACAGGGAACACAACAGAGAGUCCCUGACAGAGCAGGAAAAAAGUGGGGUGCAAAACUCAAAUUCUAGUAAGUAGACCGGACUUAAUGGUCUGACUGAGACUGGAGAGACCCCAGAAGAUAUGGCCCCCAGACUCUCUGUUAACUCAGAAGCAAAGCCAUUUCCAAAGCCAACUCUUCAGACAAAAAUUAGACAGGACUAUAAGACAUGAAACGAUACCCAUGAAGAGCAUGCUUCUUAGUUGAAGUAAAUACAUGACACUAAAUGGGCAGCUUCUGUCUGGAGGCGAAACAAGAAGGUAGAAAGUGUCAGGAGCUGGUUGAAUGGACAUGGGAAAUCCAGGGUGGAAAAAAGGAGUGUGCUGACAUAUUAUACGGAUAGCAACUAAGGUCACAUAACAAUGUGUGUAUAAAUUUUCAUAUGAGAAACUAACUUGAGCUGUGAACUUUCAGCUAAAGCACAAUAAAAUGAAUAAAUAAAAAUCACUCCUUUUUAUGAAAGAUGUCGCACAUUUCCGACCACAAACUGUUACCUGUCCUCUGUCUACAAGAUUCUCAAACUGCAUUUGUCAUGCAAUGUGAACUAGAAAACUGACAUCCAAAGGGCUCUAACCACCCCUCUCCCACGAAUUACUCUGACUUUAAUUCUUGAACACUUUUGUUUUGCUUAAGGGGCUUUAGUACCAAUGUAUCAGAAGACAAGCAUGUGAUGAUAAACGUGAUUACCCAUCAAUCAGGAUAUAUCUCUGUUUCUACAUUAAUUCAUGCCAAAAGGUUGCUUCCCCUUCCAGGAAAUCUAAAUCCACCUAAUUCUGUAGCCUCUUUGAUUCUCUCUUCUCAACAAUUAGUUACCAUCUGCACUGCUUAAGAAACCCUGGUGGCAUAGUGGUUAAGUGCUAUGGCUGCUAACCAAAGGGUCAGCAGUUUGAAUCCACCAGGCGCUCCUUGGAAACUCUUUGGGGCAGUUCUACCCUGUCCUAUAGGGUCGCUAUGAGUCGAGAAUCGACUCGACGGCACUGGGUUUGGUUUGGUUUGGUUUGUACCGCUUAAGUUCCUGUGUGACCCUUCCUGUUUCCUUUCCACCUGCCUCCCUCCCUCACUGAACUUUCAUAUAUCCCACCACACAAACUCAGAGCACUUAGCAGCUUCCUGUAAUGUGUUUUACACAGAUGAAUUGAAAUCCAGAACUCAAAAAAAGUCACCACACUUGGACACUUGGAUUAUCUGUUCACUUUUCAUUGCAUCAGAAAGGACAGGAGAGGGCGCCAGAUGGCAGCAAAAUGCACGGGUUUUCCUAGGGGUUUAGCCAAUUCCAGGGUGAGAAAUGAGCUGGAGAAGGAGAAGUUGGAAGUGAAACAAAGGUGCCAGAGUUUGAGCAGAAACGAGAACGGGAAGAAUCACUUUUUUUUCUUUUUUAAUAUUUAAGGUUCCUCUUGACCUCUGCUCCAAAUCAGCAUGGCUGAAAAGCAAAAACAGAAAUACCUACAAUAAAGCUAAAUGGUCAAAAUAAAGCUAAGUCCCUGGAGAAAGGUGCUUGCCUCCUUUCUCUCUCUCUACUAGGAAUGUCAGCUCCCAGAAACCAGAGCUUUUGUCCUUUUGGGAGGCACCGAGUGGGGUUGUGGUAGAGGGGCUGCUCACUCGGGAUGGUGGAAAGUGCUGAUUUGGGGCCAAGACAUCUUUGUGAAACAAUGAUCAUUGUGUAAGCAGAAUCCCAAAGCCCACCAGCAGGGAAACACUUCAAAGAAGGAAUAAAACACCAUCACCAAAAAAAAAAAAAAAAAAAUUAAUUAAAUUUAAAAAUUCAUAGAUGAGCCAGGAGGUGGCGCCUGGCAAGACACAUUACCUGCCUUGGGAGGCUGAAUCUCAGCCGGCGAUCUCUGUCCUGGCAGAGGUCAUCCUAUCCAGGCCUCUCUCUUCCUUUCUACCAUACCUAAGAUGUCCCUGCUUGCUUUCUUUUUUCCGUUUUUCUGUGUUAGUCUAAACGUGGCCUAACAGACACUUUAAGCUUUCUUAUUCUUCUUAGGUGGGAUGAGUGGCACUUUGGGGUAACCUGGAAACAUAAAACUUAGCUGCAAGAGAAAAAUAAUUCGAGGGUAAUAGGAAAUAAAAAAGGAAAUGACAUCGGCAAAAUGGCAAAUCAACACAGGAGACAGAAAGGCAAGGCGGGCAGUUGGCUGUGCAGGCGCUGAUGACCCGGUACAUGCAUUAUUCUGUUCAUUUGGCUUUUAUCCCGCUCUCUUAUUUAGCUUCUGCUCCCUUUGUUUGAGACUUUUUUUCUUUUUCCCUUUGUUUGGGCCAUUUAUUACUACUUGGCAAGAGCAAGGAGAGCAGAGGGAGCUCAAAUGGGUGCAUCCUCCUGGCUAGUGAGUCUGCUGAAGAAUAUGGAGGAGAAAAAGGUUUCAAUGCUUGGCUGGAAAUUAUUUGUGGGCUUUGCAUUCUCUCAUGCGGGAUUUAGGAUGUACAUUCCAAUCGGGAUUUCCAGUCCCGUGGGGGAACAAACACCAGCCCACAUUCCUGAGACACCGGGCCUCUAUGCUCCACUCUCCCAGCUCCUGGGUGGCAGGUUUCACCCAAUCCGGCUUGCCCUGCCUCGACCGUUUGUUAGGCGGGAGAAAAGAUCCCCGACCUUUCUCCCAUCUGCACUAUGUGGUCUCUCUCU